GUGCCAGCAGCCGCGGUAAUACAGAGGGUGCGAGCGUUAAUCGGAGUUACUGGGCGUAAAGGGCGCGUAGGCGGUAGGAUGUGAAUGAUGUGAAAGCCCUGGGCUUAACCUAGGAAGUGCAUCGUUAACUAUUUUACUGGAGUAUAAGAGAGGGUGGCGGAAUUUCCGGUGUAGCGGUGAAAUGCGUAGAGAUCGGAAGGAACGUCGAUGGCGAAGGCAGCCACCUGGCUUAAUACUGACGCUGAGGCGCGAAAGCGUGGGGAGCGAACAGGAUUAGAUACCCUGGUAGUCCACGCUGUAAACGAUGAUAACUAGAUGUUGGUUGGGGAACCAAUCGGUAUCGAAGCUAACGCGAUAAGUUAUCCGCCUGGGGAGUACGGCCGCAAGGCUAAAACUCAAAUGAAUUGACGG
rnacentral:rRNA from 1 species